rnacentral:lncRNA from 1 species
CUCUUGCCUGUUGCCGUGUGAGGUGGGGUUUUGCUUCUCCUUUGCCUUUCGCCAUGAUUGUGAAGCCUCCCCAGCCACGUCGAACUGUCACAGUGAACAUUUUUUGAAAUUCAUCAACGUGGAGUAAUUCCCUGUCACAUACUUAAAUAUUCUCCUUCUUCCUUCUACUUAAACACAGAAGCCUGUCACGGUGGGGAGCUUGCGCCCUUCCAAGGCAGCCUCCUGGCAUUUAGAUACAAAUUUCAAAUGGAUCACAUGCACCUAAAUCCCUUCCAAAUGACUGAAAUCACAGGAAAAAAAUUUUUUAAUUAUUUAUGUAUAAUACCACUAGAAAGCCAAACACUAUAAACCAAAAGAUUUGAGGAACUCUUGAAGGAAAAACAGAAGGUGAGAACAAACCCAAGAGGAAACUGAGGAAGGAGACUGGAAAAAUUGGGGAGCAAUAGAUGGAGUGUGCAGGGGUCAUGGGACAAUCUUCCAGGUGGUUAAUUUGAAGACUACAUGUGGAAUAUUCUCUCUCUUUCUCUCCCUCUUUCUCUCCCUUUCCCUACCCUCCCACCUCCGCCCCCGCUCAGCCCCCUCUUCGCCCCCUCUCCUCUCUCCCAUUUUCUCUAAGGGCUUGUGCUUACUCUUUGCCUAAAACUGCCCCCGGGGCCACCAUUCCCCAAGUGACAAAGGCAGCCCCACUCCACUCAACCCCAUAAUCCUCAAAACAAGCUUCUCCAUCAGAGCCAGCAUCCGUAGCCGCAAAAGCAGAAGAUCUCACACAGCAAAAGGAGCACACAGACAAAAACCACAGGACACCUGAAGAAAUCCAUUGCCACGAAAGACAGGCACCAAGCUCAACCAACACAAGGAACAGCUUAUGGAGAGAUAGUUUUGUGUGUUUUUUUUCUUUCCACUCCACCUCAAGGAGCCUGCCACAUCCCAAGUUAGGGGUGAUAAGAGGGCUUUUUAAAAACGUAACUGAUCACACCUGUAAUCCCAGCAUUUUGGGAGGCCAAGAUGGGAGGAUUACUUGAGGCCAGGGGUUUGAAACAGCCUGGGCUUAAUAUAGUGAGACCCCAUCUCAAAAAAAAAAAACUAAUUAAAUGUUGAGAAGGAGACACGAACUCUUUCAGCAUAAUUAAGUUCAAAAUAUACACCAACAGGAAGUUCUCCUUCACAGAAAUGUCUGAUUGCUUUAUAACUAUUUCACCCACAAGUCACGGCAUCACGAUGAACUCUUCCACUGUCGACUUCCACCUUCAGGACCCUAAAGGUUUCUCCCCCUCACCUCUAUCCAAGAGGGAAAGUGGAUGGGCUACAAUGUAACUGACAGUCCAUGACAGAAGAGGAGACAGGAAGAUGAAAGAGGAUAACAGAUAAAAAGACUAAGGAAUAUGGGGAAAGGGACAAAGAUGGGAAGGAAAUGGUUCAAGGAGGUCACUCUCUACUGACUGAAGGACCGGACACAGGUACAUAAGAUGAGUUGAAUGGAUAAGGGCCAACCUUCCAAGAUCUUUAGACUCCAUAUGGCACAGAAGAUGAAGGAAAUAACCAACUUCGUAUGUUUCCUUGGCUGAGGGUGUGGGCAUGCUACACGUUUUACCUCUCUAAUCACCCAGAAUACUUUGCUUUUUCCCAAGUAGAAGACAAAGACAGGAAAAGGUCAUGCAGGGGAUAGUUCUUGACUGUCCUGUCCCUUCUCCAGCAAAGCAAGGGGCAUAGGGCCUGGGUUAUAUUUGGAGUGCUGUAAACCAUCUUUGGGGUUUAAGGUCUGAUAUUCAGAUGGACUUCAGAUUAAAAGUUGCAUGCUGGCUGGGUGUCGUGGCUCACACCUGUAAUCCCAACACUUUGAGAGGCUGAGGCAGGAGGAUCACUUGAGCCCAGGAGUUCGAGACCAGCCUGGGAAACAUGGUGAAACUCCACCUCUGUAAGCAAAAUAAUAAAAAAUUAGCCGGGCAUGGUGGUGCACACCUGUAGUCCCAGCUACUUGGGAGGCUGAGGCAGGCAGAUUGCUUGAACCCAGGAGGUCAAGGCUGUGGUUAGCCGUGAUCUCACCACUGCACUCUAGCCUGGGCGAAACAGUGAGACCCUGCCUUAUUUUAACAAAAAAAAAAAAAAAAAACCUUUCAUGCUAAACCUGAACCAGAAAACAUUUUCACCAUGUUUCACCAACAAUGAUGUCAAAAAAUAGGAGCUGCCCAGCUCCAAGCCAUGAUAAUUCUGACAUUAACCCCAGAUAGCCCAAGAGAGAGACAUUGUGAAGUCUGGUAUCAGAGUGGUACAUCUGGUGAGAAUAUGCUGUUUGAAUUGUAUAUACCAGAGAGAAAACCAAACAUACGUGAUAUUAUGUAAGUCUACCAAAUCGAGAAAAUCCAUUGUCUUUUUAACACCUAAUCUCAGUUGGGCGCGGUGGCUCACGCCUGUAAUCCCAGCACUUUGGGAGGCCGAGGUGGGCGGAUCAUGAGGGCAGGAGAUUGAGACCAUCCUGGCUAACACGGUGAAACCCCGUCUCUACUAAAAAUACAAAAAAUUAGCCGGGCAUGGUGGUGGGCGCCUGUAGUCCCAGCUACUCGGGAGGCUGAGGCAGGAGAAUGGCGUGAACCCGGG